rnacentral:lncRNA from 1 species
AAGUGUGGUAGCUAGGUCGCGCGGUAAAGCUGAGUUCACAUUCACGGUGUGGUAGGUGCUACUUGUUUUUCCUCGCGCCAUACGACGUUAUGCUCUCUUGCUCAACUGCUGCAUUUGUUGGUAGUGAGUAGCUAGGCUACUAUCUUAAUUACUAGCAAGAACAAUUAUUAUCCUUCAGAAGAUAGCUAACGUUAGGUACUUGGUUUAAUUACAGUUGAAUAUCUGCCUCGUCCAGUUUCCCAUAUCCAUCGUGUGAUCGUCAAGGCAGCGAACCCAUGGCGGACUCGGUGGAGACGUUCCAGACCCACCUAACCUCUGUCAUGGACAGUUUGAUCCGCGCAUCGGUGUGCGAGAUCACCAAACUGUUCCAGGACACGGUGAAUGACUAUCUGGUGGAAAUAUCGCUGAACAGGAAGGAAAUGGACGCUCUGAAACUCCGACUCCGACUGACGGAGAACAAACUGAGAAAUGAACGCAAGUACGGGAUGGGGUGGGCAGAGAAUCGCCGCAAUGCUGGUUUGAUAGUGUCUGAGGACGGUGGGCGGAAAAAGCGGAAAAUUGAAGUGCCUCGUAAGUGUUCAUAUUUAGUAAGUACAGCCACAAAAGCAUCACGGACCAUAAAGUAGUUUAUGUAUUUGUCUUUCCCUAUGUAUAAAACUGACAUUAAACAUCAUUCAUCAUAUUCUGAUUGAAAUGUUAUGUGAUUGCAUAUCACAUCAAUACAAGUUGAUUUCUUGUGUACCAUUAAGUCGAAAGCCUGUAAUGCUUGUGUGAAGAGGUGCUUGUUAUGUUGGAAGCCAUCUGGCAGAGGCUGAGCUGUCUCAUCUCUCCUUCCCUCUCUACUCCUCCGCUCUCCCUCCCCCACCUCCUCUUCAUUUUCUAUCUUUCACCUCCCCCACUCCUAUCUCCGCUCUCCAUCACGACCUCUCUCCUCCCUCCCUCCUUCUCCCUCUGCUCUUCAUCCUGCCCUCUCCUUCUCCCUGCCCCCACCUCCUCCAAUUCUCUAUUCGCUUUCCUCUCCCCUUUUCACUCCCACCCCCUCUGCUCUCCUUUACGCUUCCUCUCUCCUUCUCCCUACUCUGCCUCCUCUCCUUCAUGCUCUCCCUUCCCCCAACUCCUCCACUGUCACUGCUCCCCUCUCACCCCCUCUCGUCCAUGCUCUCUCCUGCGCCAUGCCAUCCCUCCUGCUCUCCUUCAACAUGCUUUCUCCCUUCCCCCAAUUUCUCCACUUCUGUCACCGCUCCCCUCCAUCCUUCAUGCCCCCCUCGCCUCUCUCCCGCUCCCUGCCAUCCCUCCUCCUCUCCCUGCUUUCCUUCCUCUCCUUCAUAAUGCUCUCUCCCUUCCCCCUCUAUUUAUAUCACCGCUCUGUCCCUCCCACUCUUUCCUUAAUGCUCCCUCCUCACCCCAUCCGCUCCCUUUCCUCUCUCCCUUCCUCCUCAGGAGGAAAGCAGACGCUGGGCCUUGCCUUUGGAGGCGCGGGGGAGGAAGGAGGAGGAGCAGCCAGGGUAGUAACGGGGGGAGGGUGGAAGGAGGCACGCGAGCUGUACCUCAUUCAGUUCCCCGGGGAGGAAG